GAUGAACGCUGGCGGCGUGCCUAAUACAUGCAAGUCGAGCGAAUGGAUUAAGAGCUUGCUCUUAUGAAGUUAGCGGCGGGCGGGUGAGUAACACGUGGGUAACCUGCCCAUAAGACUGGGAUAACUCCGGGAAACCGGGGCUAAUACCGGAUAACAUUUUGAACCGCAUGGUUCGAAAUUGAAAGGCGGCUUCGGCUGUCACUUACGGAUGGACCCGCGUCGCAUUAGCUAGUUGGUGAGGUAACGGCUCACCAAGGCAACGAUGCGUAGCCGACCUGGAAGGGUGAGCGGCCACCCUGGGACUGAGACACGGGCCCGACUCCUACGGGAGGCAGCAGUAGGGAAUCUACCGCAAUGGACGAAAGUCUGACGGAGCAACGCCGCGUGAGUGAUGAAGGCUUUCGGGUCGUAAAACUCUGUUGUUAGGGAAGAACAAGUGCUAGUUGAAUAAGCUGGCACCUUGACGGUACCUAACCAGAAAGCCACGGCUAACUACGUGCCAGCAGCCGCAGUAA
rnacentral:rRNA from 1 species